CCAAUAGCGUAUAUUAAAGUUGUUGCAGUUAAAAAGCUCGUAGUUGAAUUUCGGGAUUGGCGCAUCGGUCGUGCCUCACGGGGUAUGAACUGGUGCAGUCAAUUUCUCACCUUCUGGAGAACCGCGAUGUCCUUAAUUGGAUGCCGCGGGGAACCAGGACCUUUACUUUGAAAAAAUUAGAGUGUUUAAAGCAGGCAUUUUUGCUUGAAUACAUUAGCAUGGAAUAAUAAAAUAGGACGGCAUGGUUCUAUUUUGUUGGUUUCUAGGACCACCGUAAUGAUUAAUAGGGAUAGUUGGGGGCAUUAGUAUGCAAUUGUCAGAGGUGAAAUUCUUGGAUUUAUUGAAGACUAACUACUGCGAAAGCAUUUGCCAAGGAUGUUUUCAUUAAUCAAGAACGAAAGUUAGGGGAUCGAAGACGAUCAGAUACCGUCGUAGUCGUAACCAUAAACUAUGCCGACUAGGAAUCAGACGAUGUUAAUUUUUUAAUGACUCGUUUGGCACCUUAC
rnacentral:rRNA from 1 species